UUCAUACUUGUGUAGUAAGAUUACCCCCGAAAAAUAAAAUGACGAAGCAAUACCAUCCGUUGACUAAAUAUUACAACAUAAUACACCACAUUCAUUUGUUUAGCUUCAUUAGUCCAAUUGCAUUUUUAGCUUGCUUCUAUGAGAAUGAGAAAGAUAAAAACAAUCAGAUAAAUCGUGUUCAUGUUGGUAGUCCCACUAAUACAAAAUAUUGGAUAAAAUUUGGACAGUUGCAGUUGACAACAAAUACUUCAUCUUAUAUCCACCUAAAGAAAAGAAAAUCAAGCAUUAGUAUUAUUGGUAAGACUUACAUAUGGUAGUAUAACAAUCAUAAAAUUCAGCUAGUUUGCAUAUUCAGCAAAACAAUCAUAAAUUCAUUAAUUUUGGAGGAAAAAGAGGGGCAUAAAAUAUCAGCAUGGACUAAGAGGAGAAAGAAAAGAUUCAGACACGGUAGACCUAUUGAAAUGCCCCCAUCAAAGGCAUGUUCUAAAUCUGAAUUGGGUCUCUUCUUUUUAGCAAUCUAUAGCUAGGCAUUAAAUAAUGAUUUACAACCUUGGAGGACCUAUUUAGGGAUAUGAACCUUUAACCUAUUUCAUUGGAGGAGACUAUCUUCAUUGAUUUUGGUAUUGAUGUAAUAACUGAAAAGUGAUACACACCAAAUUUAAAAUAGAAAAUCUGCAAUAGAAGCACUACCAGUAAAUCACAAUUCACAACCAUACUCGCAUAUUCUGUGACUUAGGAGAGAUCAUGUAGUGGUAUUUCUAUUUCAAUCACCUGACCCUACUCUAUUCAUGAGAACAACUGCUAUCUAUGUUGAAUGAAUGCGUCCAGGUUACUACAAAAAUUUCUAGACAAAUUCUAACUUCUGCAAAUACUACUUCAAUUGCCUUAUUUCUAUUAUAUACUUACAAGCAACGACCAUCUCAUCAUGACCAUCUAUCGAAGAGAUGCACCAAAAAGAUCUGAAAAACAUAAAGCAGAUAAACGAACCUUCAAAAUAUAAGUUUUGAGUAGUAUUUAAACACAUGUUAAAGGAUACAAUGAAAAGAAGCAUAUUGCCAACGACAAGUCUGUUUUUUCAUUUCCUUGCAAAACUUACUAAUGACAAACUAAGUGAAUGUGUGGGCUAAAGAUGUUGCAACCUGAUCAUUCUAGAUAUGUCCAUGUUAUUGUCCUUGGUGGGGCUUCAGUGAGAGUUCAUCAUUUAUAAUUUGCUGCUUUUGAGGCUAGUGAAAAAUAUUCAACAUGUUGUGCGAGAGAUUUGGAAACAACAGUUAUCACUUAUCACAUGCCAUCAGUUCUUGCUCGAUCCUUAUCUAUAUGAAAUAAAGCGUGCGUCUAUACCGAUAAGUAGAUAUUGAUUGAUCUCAACUAAUCAAGGGGAAAAUGUUUGAUAUUUUGGUCAAUUCAAAAUAUCAUAAUAAAAAUACCCCCGUACCCUGACAACUUAAAAAAAGUGAAAAGAAGAAAGGAAUGUUGAGGCUAGGAAUGAAGUGCAAAGAGAAAACUGGAGAAAUAAAACUCACAUGCAGACAUCCACUAAUCAAACAAAUCAAAUGCUCAAAAAACAAAAUCAGAGAACAUAGCUUACCAAUUAAUACAAUCGCAGCACACCAGAUUGAUCGGCAAAGGACUGUCAAUCCAACUAAAGAAGAUACUAUCAUGUGACAGAAGCAUUAUUCAAAGUUCAAACUUGCCGCAAUUAUUACUCCCACCGUUCCAGUUUAUGUAAACCUAGCUAUUUCCUUUUUGGUCCGUUCCAAAAAGAAUGACCCCUUUCUAAAUUUGGAAACAAUUUAGCUUAAACUUCCAAUUCUACCCUUAAUGAGAAGCUUUUAUAACCACACAAAUACUCUGGUCCCCAUUUUGACUUGUUUAGGACCACAAAUUCUAAAAAAGUCAUCAUUUUUUCUUAAACUCCGUGAUCAGUCAAACAUGUUCACAUAAAUUGGAACAGAGGGAGUAUUAUUGAAAAAAAUGGAAGGGAAGGAAAAGAUAAAGCUGUAAUUUUGAUUACUUUUGCUCCACGCGUAUAGUAGUCACCGGAACAUCUAUGUACAAGAUAAAAAGUCAUAAGCAAGCUGCGGUAAGGACUUUAUUUUCCUGCAAAACAAUUGUUGAUGUAUAGAAAAACAUGUUACUAAUUUAUAUGAGGGAAUCAAUUAGGAUAUUUGCGAACGAACAUUUAAACUUGUUGCUAAAUUUUUAUGUUUGAGUAGCUUAGUAACUUUUAUUCUCUGUGUAAAAGCAUAGGAGUUAGCAGGACUUCAGAAUAUGCAAGCAUUUGAACUAUCUCGGAGGAGUUGAUUGAAAUAUUUCAAGAAUUUCUCAAGGAUUAAUCUUCAUUUCCUGCACAUACUCUAGUCCCUCUCGAGAUAGUAAUUCUGGGGUUUUCACAUUAUAAAAUGACAUAAAGAUGAUCUCCGAAUGAUCUUCUUAGCUGCUACUUGAUUUUCAAAUGUAUCAACCAAAUCAGACAACCCAAUGAAUGAAAGCUCUUAAUCUUCAUUAUACUCCAGCAUAGAGCGAUAAUGUCUCAAAUUCUAGAGUAAUCUUAAUAUCUCGUUCUGAACACUUAUGUCAUUUGAGUAUCAAAUAAAUCUCAGUUGUAACCUAAAAGCAACAACCAUAAAUUCCAGCUUUGUUUCUUUGAUACUAUGUUGUAGAUUAGUUUUAUGGAGUUACAACCAACAAAUCAGAAGUAGAAAGAUUCAAAAAAUGACGAAGAAACAAUAAUAAUUCAACGAUGAUAGAUAAACAAAAUUGAUUGUCCUUGUAAUAUUGCAUAGAUCAGAGAGCUAUUGUUGAAAUGUGAGACCCGUUUGGCCAUAGAUCACUUUUGACACGGAACCAACCCCCAGAGGAAACAGAGGGACAACAACACAAAACUGCAGCACAUCCCUAUUUUUAUUUCUAAAGCAAGAAAGAACAACGACACUGCCACUCUUCAAUUAAUUUCUAAAUCAAUUCCCAAAUAGAAUUUCAGUGCACCUUUAUCAUCUCUCAACGCAAUUCUAAUGUGCAAAGUCGCCCAAACCUGUAGAAGUAAGAGGUUCUUACUCCCAUGUAGUCUAAAUACUUUUUUUCUUACUAUUUUCUUCAAUCCUUUAUCUUCUUUUUUAUAACAAGAAUAAGUACAACUAUAGAUUUGUUGCCUAACAUAAACUUUUCCUAAGCAUUCAUCCCACAAAUCAAAGUAGGCAAAUAACUUUAAGCUUUUCCUAAUCAUGUAUAUUCCAAUCAAUCAACCUCCAUUCCAUACAUCAUCCUAUUUCUUUGGAUGCUGUCAUAGCCAAAAAGAAGUGACAAAAUAAGACGGUAAACUUUCCUCUUCCAUUGUUAUCUUCGAGAAAUAGAGUAAGACAGUGGACACAUAGAAGGUUUGAAGAUGAAAUUUCAUAAAGAUACCCCACGCCCUAGAUCACUUUCAGCAUUCUAAAGAUGCCAAGUGAAUGUAGAAAUUUGAAAGUUCUAAAAGAUGGAUAUAUAUUCUUUGUUCCGAGUUGGCGAUUUUGGUGUUAUAGAUGUAGUUUAUUGUAAGGUCUGUAAUGUUAUUUGAAAAGUGUUCAUGACGGCUAGUAAGAUGAUAAAGCCCAUAAUACUGUAUGUAAUACCCGAAAGAAUUGUACUCUAGCUAGUUUGUUGAACAUACCAUCACAAUCUCGGUGUUGUUUGUAAUUAGAAAAUUUACCUUUUUAAUCAAAAGCAAUAUAAGGAGAAAAUAUGGUCAAAGUAUAGAAUCAGAUAUGCUGAGCACAUUUUUCCUGAAAUAAAAAGAACUCAAUUUAGUAAAAAUUUUGAUUCAUAUCUUCUCAAGCUCAACCUGAGACUAUACUUUCCUAAAGUCGGAAUAGGAUCGUUCUCCACUUCACGAGAUUUUAAAAAGAACAACUUAAUUUUGUAAAUACUUCAUUAAUCAUUUUUCCCAAAUAAAGUUUUUAAACAUAUAAAAUCUCUAUAAGAAGACAAAAGUGAAAGAACACAAGUAUUUUUCUUGGCUGUACAUUAAAAAUAAAAAGAAUGCAUUUGAAACAUUAGUUUGCUAAUUUCAGUACUGUUGAAGAAGCCUUGUAAAACAUUAAAUUCGGAUAGCCUAACAUACAAUUAUUUCUUGUUAGCUAAGAAGUCCUUUAAAGUAUGCAUCAACUACCGUCAACAGUCAGAUAAAUAUUACUUCUCAUUUAAUUCUAUCCUCUCAUGUCUACAGCAGUUUAGAAAAUCCACAAAAUUGUUUAGAUCCUGGGGCCAUCUUACAAUUACACCAAGAAUACACAAACUGCAAUGACUUGAAUUGAAUACAUGCUAAGGCCCAAUAAGUAUUUUGAAAAAAACUAUAGUUUCUUUCCACAUUGUGCAAAAAAAGCACGAAGGAACUUAUUACUGGAUGUCUUUGUGAAUGUAAUAGAAAAUCUCAUGAAUUAAGCAUAAAAAACCUUUUGUUCUUGGGGAUAAUUGCAUUUUUAAUGAGUUACUAAUAUUGAAAAGGGGAAGUAAGUAAAAGUAAACCAAAAUGUGCAGAACUUACCUGGUACAAGUGAAGCAAUAUUCCUUUCCCCACUUUCAGUUAACAACUUCCUUUAAGAAAAAUCUGAAAAAUCAAUAUUUUGGGACCAUUAUAUUCCUACUAAAUGAAUACAAAAAUAUUCGGUAAUAUCAAAAGUUCAUAUUUCAAACAAAACCCAAGUAAGCGAUACACUAUUCAGUUUAAUAGAGUCUCGUCAAAAAAUAAUAAAAUAGGAGUAAUAAUUUUGAAAAAGAAGAAGAUAAACCCAAUUAAAGAACAUUGUGUGAGAAAAAUAUUGUGCAUGAGUAAAUCAAACAUAUCUACUGACAUGUAUGUAUAACAUUCAAUAAAAUACUGCCCAAAAGUUCAAGAUGCCCAAAAAAUUAUAUUAAAAACAGGAUCCAAACACAUGCAUAGCCGAGAAAACAGAGGAAGAUGCAAAGAAGGUGUCCAAUUCCCUGCUUCUUAGUAGGAGAAACUGAUAGAUAAGUCACCAAAGAAACCCCAAAUUUUCCAUCUUUCAAUUUUCUUUUUCAAACUUUCAGUUCAUACACUUUGAAAACCUAAAUAGACACAAUUCAAUAAUGUAGCCACAUAAGACUCACCAAUCCUUGUAACAUUAAAAAAAUUAGAAAUGGUAAAAGAUAAAAGAUAAAAGAUAUUCUCCAUCUUCAUAAUAGCCAAAGGUAACACAUAAAUAUUAAAAAAAUGAACCCAGAUGGGACUAAAUCUAAAAACUGAGCAAAAUAUUAACAGGGGGAAGAAGAAAAAGGCAUCAGCAAGAGAAAGAGUCGGUGGAAGGGAAAUUGAGAAAUGUAGGAAA
rnacentral:lncRNA from 1 species